UCCCUGAAGGCACCACUCCAUCAACAGUCUGGUCAACAACAUUCCUGCUGGGAGUCUUUGGGCUAACUUCACCGACUCUCCGCACUUAAACGUGCCGGCAUGGAUGUACUCAAGUCGGCUGGGAGAGCCAUUAUCCGGAGCCCGAGUGUGGUGAAGCAGUCGUGGACCGCCGGCAGACACAGAAAGCUUCCAGAGAACUGGACUGACACGAGGGAAACCAUUUUAGAGGGAAUGACCUUUAACCUUUCUCACAUUGGCAUGACGCUUGUGGACCAACCCAAGGGAGAGGAACUGUCUGCAGCUGCUGUAAAGAGAAUUGUUGCCACGGCUAAAGCCAGCAGGAAGAAGCCCCAGAAGGUUGCUUUCAAGGUAUCUCCUCAGGGAAUUGUGACACUUGACAGGUCUACCAACAAGCUCCUAGAAAAUGUCUCCAUAUACAGAAUAUCCUACUGCACAGUGGACAAGCUGCAUGAUAAAGUCUUUGCUUAUAUCGCUCAAAACACCUUCAAUGGGACCCUGGAGUGCCACGCCUACCUCUGCUCCAAGAGAAAAGUGGCUCAAGCGGUUGCUUUGACCGUAGCUCAGGCCUUCACUGUAGCAUUCGAACUGUGGCAGGUGGCCAAAGAAGAAAAAGGGGGAAGAGUGAAGUCUGGCUCUGCAGGAGAUGCAAGCAGCAGUUGCCACUCAGAGAGAUCGAACAGCUCAGUUAGUCUGAAAAGGACUGAUGUUGCUACACAGAACCUGUUAGACUUGGAGGACAGUGUGAACAAGGUGGUGGAGAGCACUGGGGAUGUAGAAAACAAUCAGCCAGAUAAUCAGAGAGCCUCUGAGACCAACAACAACCCUGCCCUGCUCACAUCAGAGAGUGCAGUAAGAUCCUUUUUCUUCCACGGAGAACAAGACCGUUUGGACGAAGCCUUCUCCAGCUCACACACCUCCCAGUCACUGCUUUCUUUCUUAUUUUGAAUGAAAUAAAAAUAAAAACAGCUGUGCCCUGGAUAGCUAUGGUUCAUUUCCAGACUGGCAGUGUCACGUUUUAACCCCCAGAUCUUGGACUCUGGGAUGAUGCCCCCGGACUGGCUUACUGAACCUGACUGAGACAACACAGACGAACACUCUUCUGAUUGUUGCAGCUCCUUUGAGGACAAUAUCCUGGGAUUUUGACUGCUGGUGCACAGAUACUUGUUUCAGUAGUUUUGGCAGCAGAUGCAUAUAUAUCUAUAUAUCUAUAUCUAUAUCUAUCUAUCUAUCUAUCUGUCUAUCUAUCUAUCUAUCUAUCUAUCUAUCUAUCUAUCUAUCUAUCUAUCUAUAUAUA